rnacentral:rRNA from 1 species
AGGAUCAUUACCGAGUGAGGGCCCUCUGGGUCCAACCUCCAUGCUCGUAGUAGUCUGGGUUGUUGCUUCGGCGGGCCCGCCUCACGGCCGCCGGGGGGAUGCCGCUGUAGAUGUCGCUGCCGCCGAAGACACCAAUGAACUCUUGUCUAUGCUCGCUGAUAGUCGCAGAUUAGCUAAAUCAGUUAAAACUUUCAACAACGGAUCUCUUGGUUCCGGCAUCGAUGAAGAACGCAGCGAAAUGCUCGUAGAUGUCGCUCGUAGGAUGUUCAGUGAAUCAUCGAGUCUUUGAACGCACAUUGCGCCCCCUGGUAUUCCGGGGGGCAUGCCUGUCCGAGCGUCAUUGCUGCCCUCAUGCUCGCUGGGUACCUGACUGGGGGUGUGCCGGCUCCCGGGGGGCGGGCCCGAAAGGCAGCGGCGGCACCGCGUCCGGUCCUCGAGCGUAUGGGGCUUCGAUGCUCGUCGUAAGUCGCUCGUAGAGGCCCGCCGGCGACCCCAAUCAAUCUUUCCAGGUUGAAUGGCUCGUGAUGUGGGAUACCCGCUGAACUUAAUAGUCGCUGAUGUAGGCUCGCUGAUAGUCGCUGCUGAUAG